CGGACGGGUGAGUAACGCGUGGGCAACCUGCCUUACACAGGGGGAUAACACUUAGAAAUAGGUGCUAAAACCGCAUAAGCGCACAGCUUCGCAUGAAGCGGUGUGAAAAACUCCGGUGGUGUAAGAUGGACCCGCGUCUGAUUAGCUUGUUGGCGGGGUAACGGCCCACCAAGGCGACGAUCAGUAGCCGGCCUGAGAGGGCGGACGGCCACAUUGGGACUGAGACACGGCCCAGACUCCUACGGAAGGCAGCAG
rnacentral:rRNA from 1 species